GUGAAUAAAAUCAAUUAUUUGGGGACAUUUGCUGUGUCUUUCAUAAUGUGUGGAUUGGUGUUUGCAAACAGAAUCAUGGUUGUUUAAUCAGAUAUGGCCCUUUUCUUCACUACAUUUCCUCACCACAGAUUUUAAUCUAUACCUAAAAUGCCUCUUAUCUGUACCUAAAACAAAUGCAAUGUAUUCUUGGCAAAAGAAAAAUGGUUAUAUUUUGAUAUCCCUUUUCUCUUGGAAAAUAUUUUCUUAAAAUGUCUACAGCAAUCAUUGGAAUUAGCUUUUUGACUUUGAGAUAUUAAUUUAAUUGCUUAAAAUGACGUAACUUAGUAUCAAAUGCCCACACCAUAUUCAUUAUGGCUAAUCUGACUGCAAGGUUAGCGUUAUGUUUAAUUGUUCAGCAACAGAGAAUACUUUUUUAAAGUAGUGAAAUCCCAAAGGCAAAGAAGAAGAGGGGAUACAGCUGACUGAAUGUAAUUACGAUGGAUUUAACUAUGCUCCACAAUCCCAUCUUGAAAUCCCCCAAGGAGCUGGAAGGGGUGGGAAGAGCAAAACAGACUUUGAAAAAAGUGUUAUGGUGGCUUGGGGUUUAGAAGUGAAGAAAAUCGGUAUAACUAGAAAAUAGGGAUAUUUUGACUCAAAUUACACAGAAAGUCUUUAACGGCAGCAAAAUGAGUAUAUUCGGAAGGCAAACUGGGGCUGGCCCCAUGAGCUAGGGGCCUCCUUCUUGGCAUACAAAUCCUUUUUAAUGUCUGCAAACUGUUUAGACAGGUUUGAAAUGCUAUCGUUCUGCACCAAAUGUAUUUCAACCCCAUUUCCAGGUGCAAAUUCAAGCAGAGACUGAAGCAUGCAGCAAAGGAAGGUGACAAGACAGAGAAGCCCCUGAAAAUUCAGGUUUCGAAUCGUGAUGCUCGAUGGACACUCCUGAAAGCUACACCCAUGUUCAUCUUGGAAGCAAAAUCCUGUGGACAUGUUUAGCUGAUCUACCAAGAGGGCAGGCUCCUGGUCUCUCCUUGUUGUGUAAGGAAAAACGACCACCAAAUUGUUCCUAGCAAAUGACAAGCCCUCAUAAGAUGACAGCACAUCCAGGUUUCCCUGUCUGGACGUGAAUGUUUUCAUCUGUCUCAAUGUGAAUGUUAAUAGCACCACUCUUCCCUCUCUCAUGACCCCAUUUGGAUAAAAAAUUAUAUGGUCACCCUACUUAAAGGUCGAUUUCCCCUUAUGUCAACUCAUCAUAGCCCUAUUUCACAAUCACACAUUUAACCAACCAACCAACCAAAAUGCUAAGUUCUAUUCACAUAUAUGAUUAUAAAUGGACCAUUUCUAGACAGUUUUCCUACCUCUCCCAGAACCAAAAUGAAUAUUGAAGAUGUUUGAAAUUUCACCUUCAAGUCCAAAGAUCCCUACACCAUGAAUAGCCCUUUCUCUAAUACCUUUCUGAUUCAAUAUCCCAAGGAGGUACCACUUCUUACAGUGAGCACGUAAUGAAUGGAAUCAAGAAUUGAAGAGCCUGAAUUCUACCCAGUUAAGAACUGCAAUUUGGUUCUUCCAGAUGACAAUUUUUACCGAAUUCCUGGAGCAAUCACAGAACUAAGAGGACCCUAAUAAUCAGGUACCACAAAGCUGGCAAACACUUGUGUCAAAGUGGAAAUGGACUGUGUCAGGAGGCAACCGA
rnacentral:lncRNA from 1 species